rnacentral:rRNA from 1 species
CCUACGGGAGGCUGCAGUGAGGAAUAUUGGACAAUGGACGGAAGUCUGAUCCAGCCAUGCCGCGUGCAGGAUGAAGGCGCUCAGCGUUGUAAACUGCUUUUGGAUGGGAAUAAUAACCUCGACGUGUUCGGGGCUUGAAGGUACCAUCAGAAUAAGCACCGGCUAACUCCGUGCCAGCAGCCGCGGUAAUACGGAGGGUGCAAGCGUUAUCCGGAAUCACUGGGUUUAAAGGGUGCGUAGGCGGCGCGAUAAGUCAGUUGUGAAAUUCCCCGGCUUAACCGGCGGAACUGCGAUUGAUACUGUCGUGCUUGAAUCAGGUUGAGGUAGGCGGAAUGUGGCAUGUAGCGGUGAAAUGCUUAGAUAUGCCAUAGAACACCGAUUGCGAAGGCAGCUUGCUGGACCUUGAUUGACGCUGAGGCACGAAAGCGUGGGGAGCAAACAGGAUUAGAUACCCCUGUAGUC